ACGUGUAGCAGUGAAAUGCGUAGAGAUGUGGAGGAACACCGAUGGCGAAGGCAGCCCCCUGGGCCGAUACUGACGCUCAUGCACGAAAGCGUGGGUAGCAAACAGGAUUAGAUACCCUGGUAGUCCACGCCCUAAACGAUGUCAACUAGGUGUUGGGUGGGUAAAACCAUUUAGUACCGUAGCUAACGCGUGAAGUUGACCGCCUGGGGAGUACGGCCGCAAGGUUAAAACUCAAAGGAAUUGACGGGGACCCGCACAAGCGGUGGAUGAUGUGGAUUAAUUCGAUGCAACGCGAAAAACCUUACCUACCCUUGACAUGUCCAGAAGCCCGGAGAGAUUUGGGUGUGCCCGAAAGGGAACUGGAACACAGGUGCUGCAUGGCUGUCGUCAGCUCGUGUCGUGAGAUGUUGGGUUAAGUCCCGCAACGAGCGCAACCCUUGUCGUUAAUUGCCAUCAUUUAGUUGGGCACUUUAACGAGACUGCCGGUGACAAACCGGAGGAAGGUGGGGAUGACGUCAAGUCCUCAUGGCCCUUAUGGGUAGGGCUUCACACGUCAUACAAUGGUCGGUACAGAGGGUUGCCAAGCCGCGAGGUGGAGCCAAUCCCAGAAAGCCGAUCGUAGUCCGGAUUGCAGGCUGCAACUCGCCUGCAUGAAGUCGGAAUCGCUAGUAAUCGCGGAUCAGCAUGUCGCGGUGAAUACGUUCCCGGGUCUUGUACACACCGCCCGUAA
rnacentral:rRNA from 1 species